AAUAAUAUUCAAAAACUGGUUAGAACACAGAGAAUAAACAAUUUUUUUCACUUUUAUAAAUAGUUUGUUUUACAUGACACUUCCUGCACAUUUUGAGCAUACGCCUGAAGAGAAGAAAAAAAAAGUUUCAGCAUGACAUAAAAUAGAAUACAUUACAAAGAAAAUGAUGGACCAUGCAAACAUUUUUUUUUUAGGUACUGGCUAUGGCCAUCUAUCUACAUCAUUGUAUGCAGCAAUAUAGAGGUAUAUUUCAUAUUACAUCAGCUUUUUUCAAAGAUAAAGUCUGGUACUGGAAAAAAAACACAGAAAAUAAAAUGUUCACAGAAUUGAACAAAUCUUCCACAGAAAUACAAUAAAUAAAUUAAUGAUACAUGCAUCUGCCAAACUUUUUUUCCCCAGAAAAAUGUAUAAUUACAGAGUAAUAACUAAAAUUAUUGGAAAAUGCCUGUUUAUAGUGUGGUCCCACAUGCUGUAUCCUGUGUUAGCUACACCGGGAAAAGCAAAUGGUAACAAAAUGAAUAAUUACAAGCAAGCCUGAAUUAGUUCAAUUGAACAUUGUUCUCAAUAAGCAUUCUGGCAUAUGACAAAUACUUCAGUACUGCUUCCAAUCAUUUCCUAACAAAAUUAGAUUUCUAUAACAGAACUCAAACUUACGUUUUAAGAGAGGUAAACUUCUGUUACCGGUAUAUGCACACCUUGUACUUAGACCCUGUAGCUCAAAAUUGUAUACUCUAGUAUACUUUUAAACAAUGAUGAUAGCGAUUUUUUAAUUUUCACAUUUUAUUGCUUUAGCAGGUUAAUCCAAACAAUGCAAGAGGUAAAUGUGAUUAUGAAUCCUAAUAACAUGCAACAUUUUCAUAAUGCUAAAUACAAUGUUUCUAAGGGCUGCAUACUAUUACCCCGGCUUUAGCACGGCUACCCUGAUCGGCGCAUCAAGUAUUCAAAGAAUUCCUUCUUACCGGGUACCCAUGUACAACACCUGGGUGAAGAGUGACAAAUGUAGAUAAACGCCACGCCAAAAAGAUGCAAGUGCCAUGGUGGGAUAAGAAAUCCUGACCUUUUGUUUUGAAGUCUAGAUACUUAUCCACUGAGCCACAACACCUCUAUUUAUGUGUACACCCUGUAUAGGGACCCUACAGUUUAAAGUAAUGUAUUUUUCAAGUUUGUGUUGAAGAGGUUGUUUGAACAAGGCAAAGAACACUUGUCAAGUUUUCUGUAGUAUCUCUCUUUUGGUGCAUUUGAUAUUUUGCCAGAGAUGUCAACACAUACAUGUAAAUAUAAAAUUUAUAAUUAAUCAUGGCAGAAACACUUACAGAAUGUAAUUCUUUUUUAAACAGCCUGAUACAGGUCAUUUUAUCUUUUUAUAUACUUAGUUCACCUGUGUUGUUGAUGUAACAACGUGCCAAAAUCUAUAUGUUUAUCAUUCUCAUCAAUAAUGAAAUUUUCUCUGUGAAUAUCACAAAAAAAUCUAAUUUAUAUGUUGUAAAAACAGUGAGCAGGUCUUACUAUAGCUAAUUUAUUGCAAAUAGAAU